rnacentral:rRNA from 1 species
GACAGAGGUGCCAAGCGUUUAGGCGGAAUCACUGGGCUUAAAGCGUGUGUAGGCGGAUCGUUAAGUGCCUUGUGAAAUCCCAUGGCUUAACCAUGGAACUGCUCGGCAUACUGGCGGUCUUGAGCCAUCUAGGGGCUACCGGAACAAAUGGUGGAGCGGUGAAAUGCGUAGAUAUCAUUUGGAACGCCAAUGGUGAAAACAGGUAGCUGGGGAUGAUGCUGACGCUGAGACACGAAAGCCCAGGGGAGCGAACGGG